rnacentral:lncRNA from 1 species
AUCGGGACCUGAAAGUUCUAUUGAAGUAUGAAUUGGUUGUUUUUCCUAUGGGUGACCAAGUGAAACAGUGAUAGGGUUGAUGCUUGAGAUGAUUUGUUUCCUUGUAUAGAAUAACAAAACAAAUCUUCAACAAUAAGAAAUCACUCGCCCAUAUCAAUUGGUUACAAAAGUAAAAGGAUGUGCUUGCAUCUAUAACAAUUAUCUUUCUUUUACUGGACCAACAUUUUCUUCCGUUAAAAAUUUCUCACAAUUUUGUAUAACCAGUUUUUUCUUUAAAAGUGAUAUUAGACGGCUCCGUUUUCAAAAAUUGUUAUUUUGCUUGUAAAACAAGUUAGAAUCAUUUUCUCCAAAAUAAUAAGUUUGAUCAUAGAGGACGUAUUGUUUUCAUCAACUGAAAGAAAAUAACGUAGAGAAAAAAAAAAACAUUCGAACAUGUAGAGCCUUAACUGUAUGUCCUUUGGGGGAAAAAAACAGAAUGAUGUGUAAUGAAAAGAAUCGACGUGGGCUUA